rnacentral:rRNA from 1 species
GACGAACGCUGGCGGCGUGCCUAAUACAUGCAAGUCGAACGAGAGCAACCGGUGCUUGCACUGGUCAAUCUAGUGGCGAACGGGUGAGUAACACGUGGGUAACCUGCCCAUCAGAGGGGGAUAACAUCCGGAAACGGAUGCUAAAACCGCAUAGGUCUUCGAACCGCAUGGUUUGAAGAGGAAAAGAGGCGCAAGCUUCUGCUGAUGGAUGGACCCGCGGUGCAUUAGCUAGUUGGUGAGGUAACGGCUCACCAAGGCCGUGAUGCAUAGCCGACCUGAGAGGGUGAUCGGCCACAUUGGGACUGAGACACGGCCCAAACUCCUACGGGAGGCAGCAGUAGGGAAUCUUCCGCAAUGGACGCAAGUCUGACGGAGCAACGCCGCGUGAGUGAAGAAGGUGUUCGGAUCGUAAAACUCUGUUGUUAGAGAAGAACAAGUGCUAGAGUAACUGUUAGCGCCUUGACGGUAGCUAACCAGAAAGCCACGGCUAACUACGUG